AAGGCCGGGCUCGCUCCUGCCUGUGGACGUCAUACGUCAUCAGCCGCCUUUUGGCUAUUACGUUCAUUUUACUACUAGUUAAAGUAAGCUGAUCAGAAUGGCUAACAUAUUGCAUCGGAAACAGUUUUUAAAGUAGAUUUUCUAGCUUAACCGGGGGUGAUAAGGAAUGGAAGACCAACACCUGAGCUUAGGAACCGACAUCAAAGGAAGGGACAGAAAAUAAUCGGAUCAUUUCAAUCUGAUUGAUAUCAACGGAAAGACUGGCUCUGUGGCUGCGCUGCUAGCAGCCAACUCUACCGCUUCCCGUCUGCUGUUCUCCACCAGCGACAGCGUGCGGACAAGAGACAGCUACUGCCUAUAGCACUCAACAAGCAUGUGAAAUCGGUGUCUCACAUCCAAAGCCAGAUAGCUCUUAAGACAUUUCACGGAUAGAUCUGGCAUUGAAUGAACAACGGAGAUUGAGCAUCAGCAUGCACAAGGCCAAGAACAAAGUGAUGGAUAUGAGUUUCUGCAGCGACAAGACUUUGAUAGUUUCUAUGAGUGAUUCGAGCAGAAACGCAAUGAACUGGGCCUGGCAGAAAGCGAAACUCGUAGUAAACGGGGUGAAUUUACUACAACAUACUGGACAAUAACAAUGUUCAGAUGAGAGCCAGGUUUGAGCACUUUGGUGAACUUAAUUUCCUUGGCUUAGUGACCUGGAAUAAAAUCUAAACAAUGUCGCAAAAGUUUGACACCAGCAAACGAGAACCUGUCCAAAUAUGCCAAGUAUUUGUUAGACUUAAGGCUGAUCUUGUUGGAUUGUACAGUUCACAAAUGGUACGAGACAAAUCCCAGAGGUGACAAAGUUAAUGCAGCUGGUUCUCACUAUACCAGCCACAACAGCAUCCAGUCAAAAAGGACGACUUUCAUCCCUUGCCAUCAUCUCCAUCGCAUCGAGACCCGAGAUACUUAUUAUUAUUUAUUUUUUUGUCACUUUUUAUUGGUAUUUCCUUUCACAGUUACAGUAAACAAUGUUUGAAAUACAUUACAUUAAACUUGUUGUUUUAUACAUUCAA